AGCCUCUGCCCUCCCUGCUUCCAGAACCCCGGACGCUGAUGGCCUGUGGCGGCCACUCUCCGCCCACCCCGGAGCCCAGCCUAGCGGGGAGAAGGCCGCCGGCCCGUUCGAAUGUCCCUCUGCUUCCAGGGUUAACGUUCCACAACAAAGAAAGUAGAAUUUAACAUCCAGAGGAAACAGAGAUAGGAGAAGGGGUUCACGAACCAGUCCAGGGGAGUGAAGAAGACACAAGAAGAAGACAGACACCUCCUGGUGUGGGCCAGUCUGUGGAUCUUGCAAGGAUGUCUUCGAGGUGGUGGAGCCUCAGGCGGCAGAUGCUGGGGGUAGUGGCGGGUGCCUGUGGUCCCAGCUACUUGGAAGAUGAGGCAGGAGGAUUGCUUGAGCCUGGAAGGACUGCAGACUCGGCGCAGCCCGUUCUCUUCUGCUUGUCUCCUGGUUGUCUCUGUGUCCCCACUGGCUUCAAGGGCAGAAGUUCAGCUACACUAGCAAGGGCUGUGGCCCUCCCUGUGUGUCCAGAUUAUGAACCUCACCCAUCCUGUGGUCCCUGGAGGGUCUUACCCCAUAGAAACUGAGAAUGGACUGAUUGAUUGACUUGAAGACUGAGAAGCUGGACAUGACCUGCUGUGAAAAGAGCCUCUGAGCCACCCCCACCUCACCUGGCCCAUCCUCUCAGAUGCCAUGGACUCUCCAAGCAGAGACCCCUGAGGGCACAGAGUGGAUUCUGCUUUUCGGAAGGGACCACCCACCGGAGAGGCGACCCAUCCUUAUGCAGACACCAACACCAUGAUGUACCAGGAAACUGAAACUGAAACUCAAGGCCCUAGUCCGGGACCCUCCUCUCUACUGAGCCAGGGCCUUGAGUGCUUCCAGUGCUACGGUGUCCUGGACCCCAGCCUGUGCCACCCCGUCUCCUAUCCCAUGCAGGCUCAAAGCUGCCCCUCCUCUGUGGUCACUGGCACUAUCGAUGGGCAGAAGUUCAGCUACACUAGCAAGGGCUGUGGCCCCACUCUGUGCCCAGAUUACUGUGGUCCCUGGAGGGUCUUACCCCACAGAAAUUGAGGAUAGACUGAUUGACUUGAAGACUGAGAAGCUGGACAUGACCUGCUGUGAAAAUAGCCUCCGUAACAAGGCGGCCACAGUGCGGCGUGGCCUCUGGUGCCAGACUGUCGGGGAGCUCCUGCUCAGCCUGGGCCCCUUCCUCUGGGCUCUGCUGUGAGCCCAGCCCGCCCUGGCACUGCCCCUGGUGGGUAAACAGGGGCUCAGGGUGGUUGCCCAGUGCAGCCCUCAGCUCCUGCCCCGAUGCCCCCGCCUGGCCGCCCAGCAGCCCAGAGACCCCCUCACCCAGCAUCCUAGCUGCCUGCUGGCUCAGAUAGUAAAUGCAUGUGUUCGCCCAA